CUUUGUUUCUCUGUGUGCAGUGUUUGUUGUGGAGUGUUAGCACAGCUGCCAAUGAGAACUUUACACACAAAGAAAAAUAAAAUACUCUGAAAAGUGGAUCUGCUGCUUUCAGCUCCACAUUCUUAUUCCUGGACUUCACCAGAGUAGCUUUCCAUGAGUCAUGAUUCAAAAUAAUCCCUCUAUAUCUGACAACACUGGGCCUCAGUGCAGCCCCUCAGUGCACCCUCUCUCUGAAACUAGCUGUUUAGCUCCUCCCCUUCAAGCCAGCUAUCUUAAGAUUAGCUAGGUUCUGGAAGCCUGCUGAGGGGCAGCACCCAGUGCUUAAAAAUAGAACUAAACAUUGUAAACUUAAAAAUGUGGAGAAGAAGAGUCAGUCCACUUUGAUGGUUAUUGUAGAGCUCUUAUUGUCUUAUUCCCAGAGUAUCAGAUACUGCAGUUCUGUCAAAGGUCAUCAUGAGCAAGUUCAGAGAUGUGCAGGAAGUCUUUCUCUCUGAUGGACUGGUGACCCAUCCAGAGUAUACCCACUCCCAUACCAGAAAAGAUGGAUGGAUGGACGGACAGACUGACGGAUGGAUGGAUGGAUGGAUGGAUGGAUGGAUGGAUGGAUGGAUGGAUGGAUGAUGGGUGGGCAGACAGACGGACAGAUGGAUGGAUGGUUGAUGGAUGGAUGGAUGAUGGAUGGAUGGAUGGAUGGAUGGAUGGUGGGCUGACGGACACACGGACAGAUGGAUGGAUGGAUGGACGGAUGGACGGAUGGAUGGAUGGAUAGACUGAUGGAUGGAUGAUGAUGGAUGGAUGGAUGGAUGGAUGGAUGGAUGGAUGGAUGGAUGGAUAGACAGAUGGAUGGAUGGUUGAUGGAUGGAUGGAUGGUGGGCUGACGGACACACGGACAGAUGGAUGUAUGAAUGGACGGAUGGAUGGAUGGAUGGAUGGACGGACGGAUGGAUGGAUGGAUGGAUGGAUAGACUGAUGGAUGGAUGGAUGGAUGGAUGGACGGACGGACGGACGGAUGGAUGGAUGACAGACACAUGGACAGAUGGAUGGAUGGAUGGAUGGAUGGAUGGAUGGAUGGAUAGACUGAUGGAUGGAUGGAUGAUGGAUGGAUGGAUGGAUGGAUGGAUGGAUGGAUGAUGGAUGGAUGGAUGGAUGGAUGGAUGGAUGGAUGGAGGGAUGGAUGGAUGGAUGGUGGGCUGACGGACACAUGGACAGAUGGAUGGAUGGAUGGAUGGAUGGAUAGACUGAUGGAUGGAUGGAUGAUGGAUGGAUGGAUGGAUGGAUGGAUGGAUGGAUGGAUGGAUGGAUGGAUGGAUGGAUAGACAGAUGGAUGGAUGGUUGAUGGAUGGAUGGAUGGAUGGAUGGAUGGUGGGCUGACGGACACACGGACAGAUGGAUGGAUGAAUGGACGGAUGGAUGGAUGGAUGGAUGGAUGGAUAGACUGAUGGAUGGAUGGAUGGAUGGAUGGAUGGAUGGAUGGACGGACGGACGGAUGGAUGGAUGACGGACACAUGGACAGAUGAAUGGAUGAAUGGACGGAUUGAUGGAUGGAUGGAUGGAUGGAUGGAUGGAUAGACAGAUGGAUGGAUGAAUGGACGGAUGGAUGGAUGGAUGGAUGGAUGGAUGGACGGAUGGAUGGAUGGAUGGAUGGAUAGACUGAUGGAUGGAUGGAUGGAUGGAUGGAUGGAUGGAUAGACUGAUGGAUGAUGGAUGGAUGGAUGGAUAGACAGAUGGAUGGAUGGUUGAUGGAUGGAUGGUUGAUGGAUGGAUGGAUGGAUGGUGGGCUGACGGACACAUGGACAGAUGGAUGGAUGAAUGUACGGCUGGAUGAAUGGAUGGACAGAUGGAUGGAUGGAUGGAUGGAUGGAUGGAUGGAUGGUGGGCUGACGGAUACACGGACAGAUGGAUGGAUGGAUGGAUGAUGGAUGGAUGGAUGGAUGGAUGGAUGAUGGAUGGAUGGAUGGAUGGAUGGAUGGUGGGCUGACGGACACACGGACAGAUGGAUGGAUGAAUGGACGGAUGGAUGGACGGAUGAAUGGACGGAUGAAUGGAUGGAUGGAUGGAUGGAUGGAUGGAUGGAUGGAUGGAUGGUGGGCUGACGGAUACACGGACAGAUGGAUGGAUGGAUGGACGGAUGGAUGAUGGAUGGAUAGACAGAUGGAUGGAUGGUUGAUGGAUGGAUGGAUGGAUGGUGGGCUGACGGACACACGGACAGAUGGAUGGAUGAAUGGACGGAUGGAUGGACGGAUGAAUGGACGGAUGAAUGGACGGUUGGAUGGAUGGAUGGAUGGAUGGAUGGAUGGGCGGACGGACGGAAGGAUGGAUGGAUGACGGACACAUGGACAGAUGGAUGGAUGAAUGGACGGAUUGAUGGAUGAAUGGAUAGACAGAUGGGCAGAUGGACGGAUGAAUGGAUGGAUGGUGGGCUGACGGACACACGGACAGAUGGAUAGACUGAAAAACGGUGACUUCACUCUGACUUCCUGCUGCAGACUUCACAGCUCUGUAAAACUGCACCAGUGUUGCUGCAGCUGUGACGGUGAGACCGGAUUUUUGAUCCUGUGGGAGGGGAACGUGUCGGCUUAUCUGAGCAGGAUGAAACCAUCACACACAGUCAGAGUUAAUGUGAGCUCGCUCACUGAGCAGAUUUAAAUACAAAUGUUUCUAAAUGUUUGUCCCUCGCUGUGAAUGCGCUCGUAUCCUCGUGUCCUUCACACAGGCCGCUUAUUCAGAUUGAUUAGAGCACAUUAAGAAACACAAUUAGCGGCACGUUCUAAUACAACACACUGGCGAUGGGAUAACCGUCCUUGAAUGUGGCUCUUUAGCAGAGAGUUAAGUCCUGUUGGGUUAAAUUAAAGCUCACAUUAUCUCACAGCAGUUUGUGUGUCUGCGUGCAGCUCGCAGCCAAAUCUGUUUAAACUAAUUAACCAUGAAUUCACUUCAAAGCAGGACUUUCUGCUCUCAGUCUGAGGUUUCUACCAAUGUCCUCAGCAGAUAUCCACACGUCCCCUCUGUGGGUGAGGACAGGACUCCACAGACAGGAAACCAACCUGCAGCUCUUCGAUAGUCAACAAUCAUUUCUUCUUCUUUUUUUAAGAAAAAAUGCAGAAGGAAAUAUUUCCAGAUGUUUUUCUAAUUCUGGCCCUUUACUCAGAUGAGACAAACAUUUCCAAGUUUCUGAAGUGAAGACAAAUUCAUAUCCAUGUCUCGUGAAAGUACCUGCCACCUAUUACUACUAAUCAUCAUUUAUGUCUUCUUUAUGAAACAGCAGCCACUCUCACACACUGCUCAUUUCACAUAUGUGUAAAGGAGCUGCUGACAGAAUAACAACCUUCCAAACAUUGACAAGCAGCAAACUCUUCUGUUUGCCAUUCUGGAGCAAAAAUGUAAAAGUGACCACCAUUUUCCAGAACAGAUGCUACUUCCAGCUUAGGACGUUUCAGAGGCAGGGUGAGGAGCUCAGAGGUAAGGCAUGUUCAGCUAGGAGGAGAGCCCAUGUAGACCUGCAGAGCUGGAGGAGGUGUGGGUGUCUCUGGUUCCGCUGCUGGGUUAGACGUUAUGUAGCAGAAAAUGGACCCAACAGCGAUUUUACUAGAAAAUUCCAACUACAAUGUACGAGCAGCACUUGGUGACAGUGGGAAGGAAGAACUGCUUUUUAGCUGGAAGAGAGCCAGGAUCAGGAAGGGGGAGGGGUGGGGGAGGUGGAAAUAGAAGAGCUUGCUCAAUCUGAAAAUCAUCAGACUUUCACAGUGUGUGUGUGCGUGUGUGUGUGUGUGUGUUUAGAUAGUUUUGUGAGGACAGAAAAUUGUCAUGCCACAAUACUUUGGGGACAAACUAGGGAUGGGUAUCGAAGACCGGUUCUUGUUGAGAACCGGUUCCCACUGUUUCAAUUCCUUGGAAUUGUUUGGCAUUUUUGCAAACGAUUCCCUUAUCGAUUCCAGUCGCCCCGAAUGACGUCACCACGUUGCGGAGCGUCAUUUACCUGGCAGGAAACAUGGCGGCUCAAACGCUCAAAAGUUUGGUUAUACUUUACGAGAACGGAUGACAACAGGGCAACUUGCAAUACUUCCAAAGUAGAUAUUUCAUUUAAGGGAGGAAACACUACGAAUAUGCAAAAGCAUUUGCUCACAAAACACGCGAUGACCUUAAAUGAAUGUCGUGUUUUUAAUUCCGUUCCGGACUCGUGAAUCUCAACCCAGCAGCAGCGGUAACGUUUGCACGUCCUCUCCCGUUAAUGCGGCAGGUAAAUAAUCAACUAACAGUGCAUAUUAUGUUAGCGCGAUCUGCCUUAUUACAAAACCUGCCAUUACUGUGCAUUUAGGUGACCAUGAUGAGACAGACAGAGUCUGGCUGGCAGUUCUCGCUGCAGUCUACCGGUAGCGUCUCCUUUCAGGCCAGGAUAGAUGAAUGUCACCGAGCAGUGACUAAGUUUGUGGUCAAAGGCUUGCUACCCAUUUGCCACAGCAGAUGCCCCCAAUUUUCGACGGCACUUCACUGGGCAGCCAGGCACGGCCGUGAGGAUGCCGUGGACAUGAUGCUUCACUCUGGAGCCGAUGUCAACGUCAGAUCAGUGAGUGUGUGUGUGUGUGUGUGUGUUUGGUCUGUGUGCAGCGCUCAGGACUGAUGUUGUUGUUGUUUAUAAACUGCACAUUGAAGAUUAAGCUAAGAAACUAUCAGGGUUGAACUGAAGCGCACGUAUACAGGAGAAUCAGUGUCAGUCUGCCAAUAAUACAUCAGCCUAAACCGCCAAAAUAAAAGCCUCUGCUUCUCUCACGUAUCAGCGCCUCACUGCAGCUGUACUGCUCUCUCUCCUUCCUGCCGAGCCUGCAGGGGCUUUAUGACUAUCCAGUUAAAUCACUCGCGCUCUCCCUUAACCUCCAGGUUGUGUACAGUGGACGCCCCAUGAGGCCUUUCCCCUCCAAUUACUGCAUCGUGUGUGAAGUUCAGAGCGUUAACCUGCUGACGAGCGACAAACAGGCUGGCGUUUUUCAGCCGCCACCCUCCCCCUGCUUCUGCUGCAGCUCACCGAGGAAAGCUCGCUCUUUAAUUUGGUUUAAUUUAAGCCCUAAGGUCAGUUUUUACAGCAGUUUUUAAGAGUUUAAUUCAUUUCAAAACACCAGUCGCAGAUUUGAAAAGUGAUUCCUCAAUAAGAAAACAAAUCUGCAGAUCUGCUAAAACAACACAGAGACGUAGAUAAUGAUAACCUCCUGAUACCUGAGCUGCUGUUCAGCUAUAAAAACAGGAAGUUCUUACUUCAUUGUAAAGUGUUAUAGCCUAAAUGUAAUCUGCACUCACUGACAGCCUGUGGGCUGAUGUCUGUGGGAAUCACUCAACUCAGUUUUAACUGUCACCUAGACGCGCUUUAUAUUGCAAGGUAAAGACCCGACAAUAAUACAGAAAACCACCAAGCACUUGGUGACAGCGGGAAGGAAAAAAUCCCUUUAUCAGGAAGAAACCGCGGGAAGAAUCAGAUUCGGGGAGGUGUGGCCUCUUCCUCCGCCAAGGCUGAGCCCAGCCACCCUCCACAGGAAGCUCAUCGCUGUGGUGGUCACAGGCGAGGGUGGGAAGGACGAUCCAGCUGAGGACCAGAAGAGGGGGGGUGGAGAGGCUUAGCUGCAGACUGUCCCACUGUGAGCUGGAGCUCACCACCUGAUGAAGCAAAGAGUCUCCACCCCUUCACUGACUCCGCCGGGCCUGCCGGCUGGAGACGCCGACCCCGACAUCUACGUGAUGGAGCAGAGACGUGACCCAGAGCACUCUGGGUGAACCACGACGGAGAUCCCGCCACCGAGGAGUGGUUUAAGUAACCCUGUGACCUCACCGGGCUCCCUCUGCAGAGGGCGUGUCUGUGGGGGUGUUAGCGCUUCCUGCAGGUUUUACUGGAUCUGCAUGGACGGGAUGGAUAUCACACCGUGGCACUAAACAUCCUCAUGUGAAGCUGGAAAACUUUAGAAUAAGUCCCAAAGCUGAACUGAAAAAUACUCGAUUACUUUGAGGGCAGUUGAAGAGCAGAGUUCUCCAAACCACAGGAGCCAAUCACAAUCCUCCGAAUCAGAAGAGUUAAAGCCGUCAUUUAACUAGACGAGUUAUAAACUCCACGGCCACAGACGGAGCAACGAGACGGAGAAUAACCCACAUUUGUAUCAGCAGAUUAUUCCCACUUCAUUCCGUCGUAAAUGCUCGCGGCGCGUGUUUGUUUCUUUUCCUUCACAGUCGAUAAAAAGAGAGCGUGCGCACGCCGCCGCUCUGUGCGCACGGCGGAUUGAUUCAAGAGGGCCAAUGUUGUGAUUACUUAAUGGCUUCCCAGACAGCCGUGGGUCCGGAGAAUUCAAUUUGGCAUCUGCCUGUGUGAGCGUUAAUCUGCUGCCUCCGCCCGCCCGCCGCUGCCGAUCAUGUGCACACAGGAGAUAAUGUUUCAGCCCCAGCAGCGCAAAGCGGAGCAGACACGUCACUUAUUGGCUCCAUAAUUACAUAAUUAACUUUUGUCUCUGAUCGUUAAGGAGGUAAUGGCUCUGAUAAAAAGGCCCUCAGCUCGAGGGCCAGCAAAUCAAAAAUCAAUAAUCCAUAGCACGGCAUCGCGAGCAGAGGGGCGCUCGCGCUUCAGGUAACGAUCUGGAGGCUUCGGCGCUUUGCUAAUGGAUGUUCCCUGCAGCCGCGUAAACGCUCGCCUCGGUGCUGCUCCGAGAGGAGGAAACAAGGCCGAUUUAAACUGUGCACCGACACUGAAAUACAAUUAUUAUUCAUUUCAUGAAUUCAAUGAAAAUAAAUAAAACAGCUUUUAUGCAUUCAAGCAGAUUUCUUGUGAGGACACCUCUGUGUGCUUCUGUCAUGCCGUAAAAUCACGGCUGGAUGAGAGCGGAUGGUUAAUUAACUGUGGAGGGAACAGCAAAGCCCUGGUCAUUUAUAAAUCAAGUCCCAAAUGUCAGGAAGAUUUUGGUGAAUAUGAAAAAAAAAGCUGUUUCCUUGUUAAAUAUGUUGACUUUUCAUAUUAGACGUAAAUGUGGGACAAAGUAGCCAGGUCACCAGGGGUGGCUCUACAGGGGGGCAGCUGGGGGGGCAGGUGCCUUAUAGCCUGCCUUAGAAGAGAUUAUACAAUCACCAGUAUUAAAAUGUUUUUGCAUGCAGGGGAUUUUCACAUGCUUCCUGCAGAGGUAUGUGCCCCCCUUCUGGUCACACAAACAAGAGCACAGAGCAGCUAACAGUCCUUAUUCACAGAUAAUAAGAAUAACUUUAUUUAUCCCGAGGGAAAUUCUUUUGUCAUGUACAUGCUCAAAGCAGCAGGAGAGACAGAGGAACAGAUGAAUAAGAUAUACAAUAGUAGUGUACAGUAAUAUACAGUAGGAAAGUGCAAGACAUAGUAUCAAAUAACUCUAACGAAGUAAUAUACAUGACUGUAUCCUGGAGAAUAAAUAACUAUCAGUGCAGGCGACUCUAGAAAGUGACAUAGUAUUGUGCAAUAGAAUAAAGGGAGUAGCAGCGUAUGAUGGGGGGAUGAAACAAAUAUUCAAUAAGGUACUGUUGGGUAAUAUUGCACGGUCUGAAAGGGAACAGAAUAACAUAGGUAAUCGUCUCAGGAAAAUCACCUACAGAGUGAGGAAGAGUUAAACAGUCUUAUUGGCACCGGGACAAAGGAUUUCCUGUGGCGGUCAGUUCUGCAUUUCGGGCCAAUGAGUCUUUUGCUGCGUUUGCUCCGAUGGUCCAUCAUGGGGGCGUGCAUGGGGUGGGAGGGAUUGUCCAUGAUAGAAAGAUAACCAAGACACGUCAUCAAAGCCUUUUUUUUUUACUUCCAAAGAAACUUUUGAGCCAUCGAUCUUUGAGUCCGUUAGCUCCACACUCAUUUCUCCUGGUCAGAUUGUCCCCACGCAGCUUUAACGAUUGUUGGUGUUUGAGCCCACGAUCGGUCACUUCCGCUCCAGGACGUGUUCCACUCGACCUUCUUGUUCAUGAUACCGUUGAUUUUCACUAACCUGCCCACGCCUCCAAACCAUACUGGGAUCUCUGCUGUGGAUGCAGCUGCCACAAAGAUGCUGACUGAAGAGCCCAGAUCUUUGUGCUCUCUGGAAACUCUGAGGUGUUCCUGGAUGUUUGCAGGCCUCAGUAAUGACCUCCCAGCAGCUGAAGAACACUCGUCUUUCUGUUCAGGAAUCCAAGUACAUGAGCUGUAAUUUGGCAUCUUAGUGAAAUAAUAAUAUAAUAAUCAGCUUCACAUUUUGUCACUAAAAAUAUGAUUAAAGGCCUUUCCUUACUGCUGUUGUAUUUAUUGGAGAUGAUGUAGAGACACCAGUAAUGUUAUAUUAUUACAGGGCAGCUGUAGUAUAAACGAGUUGUUAGACUGGGCUGCCCCUCGGCAGGCUUCCUAAAGUGGCCAAGCAGAGGAUGGUGGACUUUUAUGAAUCACCUGGAUUUUAAAAGCUGCUCUAAUGCAGUUCACGAAAAAAACAUGGCGCUGUGGUGAGCGCGGGGAAAAGCACGUUUUAGAGCUCACCCUGGAUCAACACACCCGAAUCAAAUGAUUAGUUCAUUAUCAGGCUUCUGGAGAACUUCAAGACAUGUUGAGAAGGUCAUUUAGCCAUUUAAAUCAGCUGUGAUGGAUCAAGGACACAUCUAAACCCUGCAGGACACCGGCCCUCGAGACCUGGAGUUCUCCACCUGUGGUGAAGAGGCUGACGAUGUUCACGUGUAAAAAAAGUGUUUGUGAGGUCUAAACAUCUUCUUCCUCCUCAGUGAUAUCAUUGCCCUGUUUCUCUGUUUUUCUUUCCCGCCUCUUCAUCCCACUCUCGGCUCAUCCUCCUCACCAGCAUGUAAGUAUGUUUCUGAGAUCUGCACAGAGACGAGCGGUCCUACAGAUCAGCCGUCUCGCUCUUUAAGUCGAUGGAGCUUCAGUCGGAGCGCCCGGAGCGGUACCGUCUUUGAUCUCCUGAAUUUAACUCUGUGUUUCUCUGACCUCCUCAUGCCGCUCGCCGCUCUCUGAAGGGGGUAAGUCGUAUUUUAGUGCACCUUUGAGUCCACAGAGCAGCACACCGCACAAAACGCCUUCUGGCAUCUCCACCCCGACAGCUGGGCUCACGUUCACGGCACUCUCGUGCUUCUUUAAUCCCGCUUCCUCUGAAACCUGGUGCAGCCCAGCAGCUCGCCGUCUGCGCCGUCUCUGUUCACGUCGUUUUUUAAGGUGUUCUGAGACUUUGUGUCUCCUUCUGGAUAUUUUGAGUCUAUCUGAAGUUUUCUGGGGUAAAUAAGGAAGUUUUUGUCUGUCUGCUACAGCAAGUGCAGGUCCACCUGCGCAGACAGCUCACGAGACCCGGGUGCUGUCCUUUGGCAGGCUUCCAGAUGUCGGUCAAUCAGAAGAAAGUAGGCCUUAAAGAGACAGGAGCAAGGCUUGGAGCUUGUUUCAGUCAGAAGAGCUCAGAUUUCUUUUGAUGUCUUUGUCUUAGUUUGGGCGUGUUUGCGUCUUUUAUGGCUGUUAUGAUAAAUAACUGGUUUCAUGUUCACAGAAGUGUGGCACAAACAGGGCCAGGUCCACUGACCUGACCACCACUGACAUUUACUCUGACCUGUUAUUAUAAAUCCAUGUUUGUCAUUAGAGCACAAGAACACAAGGAAACACAAAUAUUUGAGAAAUCUGUCCCAAAUGUUAGAGACGUCCGACACACGGGACGUCUCUGAGAAAUCAAGCAGAACAUUUAACCACUAAAACUGCAUUUAAUGUUCAGCAUGCAACUGAAUAAUGUGGCUUCUUAAUAAUAAUGUAUAUUAUUAUGUUCUAGCAUUGGGUCUUGUUCCUGCUGGUGGGUUAGGGCAUUACAGAAAACUCAAACAGGGAUUUUUGUGGACUUUUAGGUCGUGUAUCUGAUUCCAUUAUGAGUUCAGACUGAUCAAUAAGCAGUUGUUUCCAUCACCUUAUUUACCCCAGAGUCUUCUGAACUCUGACAUCUCCAUUAUUCAAAGACUGCAACACGUCAAAAUUCUGAUAUCGAUGUGCAGACCUGGAAUUAUAUCGAUAAGAGCAGAUGUCUAAAACUAACUGUGGGGGUCGGGUUAGUCACAGUAAGAGCUGCAUGACUGUGGUUAAGCUACAGAUAUCACCAUCAGAGCAGUGUUUCACUGUGAUCUGUUCACAGAUAUAGAAUCAGCUCAGCGGCAGUCGUGUCCGUCUGCUCUCACAGACACUGGUUAGUUAGGGUUAGCAUAUGCGCUGAGGUGGUUUAGCAGGUUGUAUUUAAUGAGAGUGAAACGUAGAGCAGCUCUGGGGUGUCGCUGGCACUUCUUGGAUCAGGCUGAGGCCUCACCUUGAUGUUCCUUGGCUCUCAGGACCUCCUGCUGAGGUGGCCUUUACCUGCGAUAUGAAGCUCAAAGUGCACCUGAACACAUAAAAGCAGCUCAACCUUUCAGCAAAAUGUCAGAUGGCGUGUUUCCGUCUUCCUGCCUUCCUGAAAGUGACGCAUAAGUGUUUAUCUGUUGUUUGUUCAAAGAAGCGCAUGAUCCAGCAGUUAAACUGAGAGAGCCUCUUCUGAUCGUUGGAGGUGAUACUGGGAACGCGUGCGCCUCGCAGCGAGGGCGCUGACAGGACGGCAGGAGUGUGACGACGAGGCGUCUCUGUGUUCUCCAGGCCCGUUUACGGCCCGUUAACUACAGACCCGUCCUUGUAAUCAACACCGACUGUCUGCUGUCACAGACCGCACGUUAGAUGGCGGUGUGACAGCAAAGAGGGCGUCUAUUUGUCUAUGACACUGACAGCAGCUCCUCCUCUGGGAUUCGUUGUGUUAAAGCGUACAAAUGAUGCUCACAUCCACUUUACACACCCGCCGCUCAGAGGAAGCGGCGUGGACAAGCAUCUGUCAGUGAUCAGAGCGCUCAGACUGACACGCUCACAGAUUCUUCGUGACUCCAAAGAAACCAAGAACAACAGCUGCUGUUAUUGCUGAUGGCAGGAAGUGCUCACGCAUUGAUGUGAGUGCAUAAAAACAUAACCACGGUAACAGGUAAACAGCUCAAACACAACCUGAACACAAAGACAGCGCAUCCAUCCAUCCACCAUCCCUCCAUCCAUCCAUCCACCUGAACAUCCAUCCAUCCAUCCACCUGAACAUCCAUCCAUCCAUCCAUCCAUCCAUCCAUCCAUCCAUCCAUCCAUCCAUCCAUCCAUCCAUCCAUCCAUCCAUCCAUCCAUCCACCAAUUAGUCUGUCUGGGGGGGGUCGCAUCUUUGGUGGUUUGCUGUCUCUGGGUGUUUGUUAGCGGUAGUUUAGAGUAAAAGUGGUAGUUUAGGGUCUUUGUGGUAGUUUAAUGUUCGUUUGUGGUAGUUUGGUGCUUGUUUGUGGUAGUUCAGGGUCUUUGUGGUAGUUUAGAGUAAAUGUGGUAGGUUAGUGUUUGUUUCGGGUAAUUUAGUGUUUGUUUGUGGUAGUUAUGUGUUUGUUUGUGGUAGUUUAGUGCUUCUUUGUGGUAGUUUAGGGUCUAUGUGGUCGUUUAGCCUUUGUUUGUGGUAGUUGAGUGGGUUUUUUUUGGUAGUUUGGGGUCUGUGUGGUAGUUUAGAGUAAAUGUGGUAGUUUAGUGUUUGUUUGUGGUAGUUUAGAGUAAAUGUGGUAGGUUAGUGUUUGUUUUGGGUAGUUUAGUGUUUGUUUGUGGUAGUUUAGAGUAAAUGUGGUAGGUUAGUGUUGGUUUCGGGUAGUUUGCUUUGUCAGGUCCUGUCCGUGAAGUCACCGUGUACAAUUACACAGUGAUAUAGCUUCUAUGACUGAGCUAACGAGAAGCUGCCUCAGUGUUUGCUGCUGUGAGUGAUGAGGUAACAGCUGAUAAUCUUCACAGGGUUACACAGCUCUUCACCUGGCCUCCAUUCACGGACACCAGGACGUCGUUCAGACCCUGAUCAACACUCAGAAUGCUAAAACCAACAUCAGAGAUUACCACGGGAAGACGGCCAUUCAGUACUGGAGCGGCAGCGCCGACAUCUUCGACAAACCCGAGUCUCAGUCAGGCGGGAGGUGUGUUCGCCGUCAGCGGACGCAGCGUUACGCUCUGCCGUCCUUCCUGCUGUCUCGCUCUCGCAGUCAGGGACAGCUCAACCUGGAGUUCAGGACGCCGCCUCAGUCCUCCUCCCACGACGCCUUGGACCUCCAUGUUUAAAGUUGAUCGCCCUGCCUGAAACCCGGUGACCCACUCUGUCCCCGUUUGGUCCACGCAGGGUUUCUGGGCUUGGAGCCACAGAUGGCAAUGAUGGCCGCUGUGUUACUUUUAAAGAGGAGACUCAGACCUGAACACAAGGCGGGCUUCAUUUUAAAGCCAAGGUUCAUCAAGCAGAGGUGUCAAACAUAAGGCCCGCGGGCCAGAAUCGGCCUUGCAAAGAUCCAAGGACGACAUGAACUGUAAGUUUGCUGAUGAAGACCUGCCUCAUGCUCAUUCAGGCUUCACCAAAGUGAUGAAGAACAUAAAGAAUUAAACUUUUUUCACUCUC